rnacentral:rRNA from 1 species
GAUGAACGCUGGCGGCGUGCCUAAUACAUGCAAGUCGAGCGAACAGAUGAGGAGCUUGCUCCUCUGACGUUAGCGGCGGACGGGUGAGUAACACGUGGAUAACCUACCUAUAAGACUGGGAUAACUUCGGGAAACCGGAGCUAAUACCGGAUAAUAUAUUGAACCGCAUGGUUCAAUAGUGAAAGACGGUUUUGCUGUCACUUAUAGAUGGAUCCGCGCCGCAUUAGCUAGUUGGUAAGGUAACGGCUUACCAAGGCAACGAUGCGUAGCCGACCUGAGAGGGUGAUCGGCCACACUGGAACUGAGGCACGGUCCAGACUCCUACGGGAGGCAGCAGUAGGGAAUCUUCCGCAAUGGGUGAAAGCCUGACGGAGCAACGCCGCGUGAGUGAUGAAGGUCUUCGGAUCGUAAAACUCUGUUAUUAGGGAAGAACAAAUGUGUAAGUAACUAUGCACGUCUUGACGGUACCUAAUCAGAAAGCCACGGCUAACUACGUG